GUCCUGUCUGUGCCCCACGUCCCAGCUCGUCCCCUGUCCUGCGCGGUGCCUUCAUCUCCUUCCUUCCCCAGGGCAUCAAAGGUGAGCGAGGCUACGUGGGCCCCCCUGGGGAGAAAGGGGAACUGGUGAGUCCCUCAGGGCUGUGCUCCAGGGGCAGAGGGCUGGGGGCUCUCCCGGGUGCCCCCCUCGCCGUGGCUACCGGGAUUGAGGUUCUUCCAGCCACAUCCAUCUGACCCUGUUCCUCCCCUUCCCAGGGACCCCCCGGCUUGGACGGCCUCCCAGGUCCCACAGGGCCAGCGGUAGGUGCCCACUCUGAUCGGCUCCCGGGGGGCUAUGGGGAGGGAGGGGGGACGGCCGCGGUGGCUGUGGGUGCAGCGAGGUGCUCCCCACCCUCCUCACCCCCUCUUUCCGCAGGGACCGAGGGGCGAGCGCGGGCUCCCGGGCAGUGCCGGCGAGAAGGGGGACCAGGUGAGCAUCCCCGAGGGUCCCGCAAGGAUGGGGAUCCCCAGGACCCCCAUCGGGCAGGAUGCGGCCGUUGGGGUCCGGCUCAGUUCUCGUCUCUCCACAGGGUUUCCAGGGCCAGCCUGGCUUCCCGGGGCCACCGGGGCCCCCCGGCUUCCCAGGGAAGGUCGGUCCAGCCGGGCCACCGGGGCCCGCGGCCGAGAAGGGCAGCGAGGGCAUGCGUGGCCCCACGGGGAUGCCAGGGCCCCCUGGACCCCCCGGACCCCCGGGCAUCCAGGGCCCCGCUGGCUUGGAAGGACUGGACGGCAAGGACGGCAAGCCAGGGCUGCGGGUGAGGUUCUGGGGCAUUCCGGGGUGCUAGCAGGGGGGCAGCCCCCCCCCCCCCCCAGGACACCCCCAACCCGUACCUCUUUCUCUCCAGGGUGACCCCGGACCGCCCGGGCCACCAGGGAUGAUGGGUCCUCCGGUGAGUGACAGCCUUCCUUGUCACCCCUCUCCGGUGCUCGGUGCCUGGCAUGUCCCCGCAGUUAGAACCGGG
rnacentral:lncRNA from 1 species